UUUUAUUUCCAUCCGUCUAUAAAGCUGGUUCUCAUAGCCUCCAAGAAAAUUCACCCUCUUCUACUCAAGCCACUCCCACGUGCCAUCAAAGACUUUCCUCUUCCCAUGAAGACUCCUAAAACUCUUUCUCUCUUCCCGAUCGUCUGCCUUUUGCUCGUAAUAUCUUGCACCGUAACUGCAACUCAAGCAAUAAGAAUUCCUGGUAAUGUUGUGGAAUUGGACAAGGAGAUCAUGGUUAUAAGAAGCUAUGUAGUCCGUCCAUAUAAGGCUCCUUCACCUCCGAAAGGACCACCACCACAUACUCCCGCAACUCGGCCUAAGCCACCAGCAUCUACUCAGCUUCUUCUUGAAGUGUGAUGGUCCACUCAUCUGAUCAUCCAAUGGCGGGGAAGAUACCCUAAGUGAUCAUUGGAUGAAAAUCCCUGCAAGUUUCUAAUAGUUAUGUAUGAAGUAUGGAUUCUAAGUGUUUUAAUGAUUAUGAUAUGAUAGACUGUUCUAGAUAUAAACUAAUGCUUCUUCUUUUUCUUCUUGUUUUUAUUUUAUUUUAUUUUAUUUCAUUUUACUUUAGGCACUACUUGCAUGCACUGUGAUAAUUAUUUUUGGUAACAGGUAGAAGAACGAUAU